GACGAACGCUGGCGGCGUGCUUAACACAUGCAAGUCGAACGGAAAGGCCCUGCUUUUGUGGGGUGCUCGAGUGGCGAACGGGUGAGUAACACGUGAGUAACCUGCCCUUGACUUUGGGAUAACUUCAGGAAACUGGGGCUAAUACCGUAUAGGAGCUCCUGCUGCAUGGUGGGGGUUGGAAAGUUUCGGCGGUUGGGGAUGGACUCGCGGCUUAUCAGCUUGUUGGUGGGGUAGUGGCUUACCAAGGCUUUGACGGGUAGCCGGCUUGAGAGGGUGACCGGCCACAUUGGGACUGAGAUACGGCCCAGACUCCUACGGGAGGCAGCAGUGGGGAAUAUUGCACAAUGGGCGGAAGCCUGAUGCAGCAACGCCGCGUGCGGGAUGACGGCCUUCGGGUUGUAAACCGCUUUCGCCUGUGACGAAGCGUGAGUGACGGUAAUGGGUAAAGAAGCACCGGCUAACUACGUG
rnacentral:rRNA from 1 species